AAUGCGUGUUCAGUCAAAUAAUUUUGUUUUUGUUUUCAUUACCGCUUUGAUUACGAAAACAUCCGUUUAUUUUGAUAAGAAUAUUUGCAUUUUGAAACAUAGAGGUCCCUUCCGAUGCAUGCUUAUAAGAUUGAAAUCUGGAAAUCUUAUUCGGAAGUUUGAGUGACCAAGAUGUUGAAGUGUUGGCACGCCUGGGGCAC
rnacentral:lncRNA from 1 species